AGACUUAGUAGGGGAGACUUCAUGACCAUAUAGGUGGGUUUUUUUUUUUUUCCAGAGUGAAGCAUAUCUAUUGUGUCCACGUGUGAGUACCCUGGGAACUUCCCCAAAUGUGGGAAACUCAACUGCAAAAUAUGUGGAGGUGAGGAGUAGAAUUUUCCUUUCCUUU